UAUCUUGUCCCCAUGGCUUGGACCAGUGUGCACAGAUAUAAACCAAUAUACAUGAUGAAUGACAUGAAGAGAGACAAGGCAAGUUUGGAGGACAAAUGUCUUU
rnacentral:lncRNA from 1 species